GAAAUGCGAUAAGUAAUGUGAAUUGCAGAAUUCAGUGAAUCAUCGAAUCUUUUAACGCAACUUGCGCUCCUUGGUAUUCCUUGGAGCAUGCCUGUUUGAGUAUCAUGAAAUCUUCAAAGUAAAUCUUUUGUUAACUCAAUUGGUUUCUACUUUGGUAUUGGAGGUCUUUGCAGCUUCACACCUGCUCCUCUUUGUUCAUUAGCUGGAUCUCAGUGUUAUGCUUGGUUCCACUCGGCGUGAUAAGUUAUCUAUCGCUGAGGACACUGUAAAAGGUGGCCAAGGUAAAUGCAGAUGAACCGCUUCUAAUAGUCCAUUGACUUGGACAAUACUUUUAUGAUCUGAUCUCAAAUCAGGUAGGACUACCCGCUGAACUUAAGC
rnacentral:misc_RNA from 1 species